rnacentral:rRNA from 1 species
UGCCAGCCGCCGCGGUAAUACGAAGGGACCUAGCGUGGUUCGGAAUUACUGGGCUUAAAGAGUUCGUAGGUGGUUGAAAAAGUUGGUGGUGAAGUCCCAGAGCUUAACUCUGGAACUGCCAUCAAAACUUUUCAGCUAGAGUUUGAUAGAGGAAAGCAGAAUUUCUAGUGUAGAGGUGAAAUUCGUAGAUAUUAGAAAGAAUACCAAUUGCGAAGGCAGCUUUCUGGAUCAUUACUGACACUGGGGAACGAAAGCAUGGGUAGCGAAGAGGAUUAGAUA